rnacentral:ncRNA from 1 species
ACAAACACAUUGAUGAGAAGAGUAGCCCUAACUUUUUUGAAAGAGACUUGUUGAAUCGCUGAAAGACAGGACCAAAGCUAGGGUGAAGAUGAACUCAGAGUGUUGCAGUGGGUUUAAACGCUAACUGCACGGCGGGAUGCCGUUAUCAGCCAUUGAGGUCAUUUAUGAACAGUUGUCAUAAAUGACGAAGAUGGGUGGUACCACGAGUUCCUUCGUCCCUAAC